rnacentral:rRNA from 1 species
ACGCUGGCGGCGUGCCUAAUACAUGCAAGUAGAACGCUGAAGGAGGAGCUUGCUUCUCUGGAUGAGUUGCGAACGGGUGAGUAACGCGUAGGUAACCUGCCUGGUAGCGGGGGAUAACUAUUGGAAACGAUAGCUAAUACCGCAUAAGAGUAGAUGUUGCAUGACAUUUGCUUAAAAGGUGCAAUUGCAUCACUACCAGAUGGACCUGCGUUGUAUUAGCUAGUUGGUGGGGUAACGGCUCACCAAGGCGACGAUACAUAGCCGACCUGAGAGGGUGAUCGGCCACACUGGGACUGAGACACGGCCCAGACUCCUACGGGAGGCAGCAGUAGGGAAUCUUCGGCAAUGGACGGAAGUCUGACCGAGCAACGCCGCGUGAGUGAAGAAGGUUUUCGGAUCGUAAAGCUCUGUUGUAAGAGAAGAACGAGUGUGAGAGUGGAAAGUUCACACUGUGACGGUAUCUUACCAGAAAGGGACGGCUAACUACGUGCCAGCAGCCGCGGUAAUACGUAGGUCCCGAGCGUUGUCCGGAUUUAUUGGGCGUAAAGCGAGCGCAGGCGGUUAGAUAAGUCUGAAGUUAAAGGCUGUGGCUUAACCAUAGUACGCUUUGGAAACUGUUUAACUUGAGUGCAAGAGGGGAGAGUGGAAUUCCAUGUGUAGCGGUGAAAUGCGUAGAUAUAUGGAGGAACACCGGUGGCGAAAGCGGCUCUCUGGCUUGUAACUGACGCUGAGGCUCGAAAGCGUGGGGAGCAAACAGGAUUAGAUACCCCUGGUAGUCCACGCCGUAAACGAUGAGUGCUAGGUGUUAGACCCUUUCCGGGGUUUAGUGCCGCAGCUAACGCAUUAAGCACUCCGCCUGGGGAGUACGACCGCAAGGUUGAAACUCAAAGGAAUUGAC